rnacentral:rRNA from 1 species
AGCCAUUAGAAAUAAUUAAUGGUUGCAUCUGCUCAAUGAAAUUUAAAUAGCUGCAGUAAUCUGACUGUACUAAGGUAGCAUAAUCAUUAGUUUCUUGAUUGGAGGCUGGAAUGAACGAAUGAAACUGGGAAGAAUGUUUUGUAUAUUAAAUUUUAAGUUGGUUUAUAAAUGAAAAAAUUUAUAUAAAUCUCAGGGACGAGAAGACCCUAGAAGCUUGAAAUUUUAAGUUUUUAAUUGGGGCGAUUAAAGAAGAAUAUCCAUCUUUUGUUGUAUUAAUCAUCUUCAAAGUUACUCUAGGGAUAACAGCGUUAUUCAAUUAGAGAGUUCUUAUUAAAAAUUGAUAUUGCGACCUCGAUGUUGAAUUAAAUAAAAUUUAUGGUGAAGGAGCUAUAAUAAAUUAGUCUGUUCGACUAUUAAAAUUUACG